rnacentral:ribozyme from 1 species
CAGCUGAAGACAGUACCUCCUCUGUACUCUCCUCCGCUUCUUCUUCCUCCUCCUCGGCUACCUCCGAUUAUUUCUGCAGUUGUCUCCUAC